UACGUAGGGGGCAAGCGUUGUCCGGAUUUAUUGGGCGUAAAGAGCGUGUAGGCGGUUUGGUAGGUCCGUUGUGAAAACUCGAGGCUCAACCUCGAGACGCCGAUGGAAACCAUCAGACUAGAGUCCGGAAGAGGAGAGUGGAAUUCCUGGUGUAGCGGUGAAAUGCGCAGAUAUCAGGAAGAACACCCGUGGCUAAGGCGGCUCACUGGUCCAUUACUGACGCUGAGGUGCGAAAGCGUGGGGAGCAAACAGG
rnacentral:rRNA from 1 species